rnacentral:lncRNA from 1 species
CAGGGAUUAUUAACUUUUUAGUGCAUAACAUAAAGUAACUGUUCGCAUUUGUUUGUAUGUAACGUUAUAAAACAUUUUUGUAAACUCUCCUUGCAUUAGCUGGGCAUCGUCACAAAGUUGAAAACGUGUCUUUCUGAACUCACAAAUGUGAUAUCACCUGUUUAAGUGCACAAGUGGAAUCAAAAUGUGGCAGGACUACAUGGCACAUUUUUAUUUUUUUAUUUUUCCACCUCUGUUGUAUACUACAGUAUAUAAACAAAACGAAUAGUAACUGAAAUUACUGAGAAAUAGCAUGCUUCUGCACCAUCAGUACUUUUACUUUUGGUACUUGAGUAUAUUUUGCUUCUAACAUAACAUACUAAAUUACUUCAGUGUCUUGAUUUAGCCACUUUCACUUAAGUACGUUUUUGAAUGACAGGGGACUUUAACCUGUAGUGCAGUAUUUUCGUAGUCAUUAUUACUUCUUCUACAUAAGUAAGGCCUCAUUUACACUACCUGGUGCAAGUGGCCAUUUUACCUGUAAGCAAAGACAAUCUAAUUUUGCAGGCUGUAUACAUUAAUUUGAAUUGAAGUUCAUGUACUAUAAUUUAAACAUGAUGCAUUUUAUAUCCUUUUUAGAUGAGGUCCACAUGAAAAAUUACAUUGCAUUUGAAGGAAGAAGAGCAGCAGGCUGAGGUCUCAGUCAGACCUGCCGACGUGGACACACCAGUGGAAGGGGACUCGGUUGAAAAUCGCGUUCUUCGCGACUGCAGAUAUGCAGCAGAGUGGGUUGGGGCCAACAAACAACUGUUCUCUGCCAAAGUGGACCUGCCUGAUGUUCUGUACAUGGGGGAGGAGAACCAGGCUGAGGCUGCUCUGCAGUAUGGGAGGGUGAGAGAUUUUAUUUUGAAAUAAAUAAUAAUAAUACAUUUCAAAAUAAAAUCGCAAAUGCACUUCCGGGUUGAAUCGCUUUCCUUACAAAUGCAUUAAUUAGUAAAC